rnacentral:rRNA from 1 species
AUUGAACGCUGGCGGCAGGCCUAACACAUGCAAGUCGAACGAGUGGCGGACGGGUGAGUAAUGUCUGGGGAACUGCCUGAUGGAGGGGGAUAACUACUGGAAACGGUAGCUAAUACCGCAUACCAUCGGAUGUGCCCCGAUGGGAUUAGCUUGUUGGUGGGGUAACGGCUCACCAAGGCGACGAUCCCUAGCUGGUCUGAGAGGAUGAUCAGCCACAAUGGGACUGAGACACGGUCCAGACUCCUACGGGAGGCAGCAGUGGGGAAUAUUGCACAAUGGGCGCAAGCCUGAUGCAGCCAUGCCGCGUGUAUGAAGAAGGCCUUCGGGUUGUAAAGUACUUUCAGCUGGGAGGCGUUACCCGCAGAAGAAGCACCGGCUAACUCCGUGCCAGCAGCCGCGGUAAUAC